rnacentral:rRNA from 1 species
UACGGAGGGGGCUAGCGUUGUUCGGAAUUACUGGGCGUAAAGCGCACGUAGGCGGCUUUGUAAGUUAGAGGGGAAAGCCCGGGGCUCAACUCCGGAAUUGCCUUUAAGACUGCAUCGCUCGAAUUGUGGAGAGGUAAGUGGAAUUCCGAGUGUAGAGGUGAAAUUCGUAGAUAUUCGGAAGAACACCAGUGGCGAAGGCGACUUACUGGACACAUAUUGACGCUGAGGUGCGAAAGCGUGGGGAGCAAACAGG